rnacentral:scRNA from 1 species
GUUGCAACGUACCGGGCAUGCGUGGGCUUGGGG